CCCGGAAGGACGCUGCGGCCAGAGUCUCUCCCUCAAGCUUGGCCAGGGAGGGUGAGAAGUGGAAUGAAGGGGCCCUGGCGGUCAUUCCUCCUUCGGACCAGUGAGCUCGUUAACUGAGAAGCUGACUGUAAUGUUUGGAAGUAAUUAGGGCUGCAUCCAAUUGCUCCAGGAACGGGGUUCCUUUCAUUGGAUGAAAAAGAAAGUUACUUUAACCCUCUGGGAAAUAUCACAGGAGGUUCAACUUGUGUGCACACACAUUUGCAUUAAUAUUUGCUGGUUACUGCAUCACCUUCCACAUACUGGGAAUUUCGGUUUAUUUUGCGGAAAGAAGGGGUAAAGUAGGAAUCUUGUUCUUGUCUUUCUGCGGGGAACAGCUUCCCUGGGCUCCCCCCUUUCUCUGGCCACUGAGUUAAAUGCUUUUCAGGGUCUUACCCCAGAGUCCUCGGACCUCAGGCUCCUGACCCUCUCUGACCUGCUCAUGUUCUGCCCACCUUAGAGACGUGAUGGCCAUUUCCUGUAUCUGACCCACCCUGUCUUCCCAGGCUGGGG
rnacentral:lncRNA from 1 species